rnacentral:rRNA from 1 species
UACAGAGGGUGCGAGCGUUAAUCGGAAUUACUGGGCGUAAAGCGCGCGUAGGCGGCUUUGCAAGUCGGGUGUGAAAUCCCCAGGCUUAACCUGGGAACUGCAUUCGAGACUGCAUUGCUAGAGUAUGGGAGAGGGAAGUGGAAUUUCCGGUGUAGCGGUGAAAUGCGUAGAUAUCGGAAGGAACACCAGUGGCGAAGGCGACUUCCUGGGCCAAUACUGACGCUGAGGCGCGAAAGCGUGGGGAGCAAACAGG